rnacentral:rRNA from 1 species
CAGCACCUCAAGUGGUCAGGAUGAUUAUUGGGCCUAAAGCAUCCGUAGCCGGCGCUGUAAGUUUUCGGUUAAAUCUGUACGCUCAACAUACAGGCUGCCGGGAAUACUGCAGAGCUAGGGAGUGGGAGAGGUAGACGGUACUCGGUAGGAAGGGGUAAAAUCCUUUGAUCUAUUGAUGACCACCUGUGGCGAAGGCGGUCUACCAGAACACGUCCGACGGUGAGGGAUGAAAGCUGGGGGAGCAAACCGGAUUAGAUACCCGAGUAGUC